GAACGCAGCCCCUAAGUCUCCCAGGACCCUGUCUGAAACCGUGGGAUGGCAGGUGGUGUGAAAGGACCAGGGGGAACACAAACCAGUUCAGUUUGUCCUGCCAAAUGGCCUGGCCCCAAGUCUUGCCUUUCUGCUUGGGUGUGCUUCAGUGAGCAGCUCUCUACAGACACAGACAGGCGAGGAGGAUCAGCUUGGCAGAUGCUGCCUGUGGUUGUACUCACCUUUCCACAGAGGUUGAGAGGCUGCUGCUCUUCAGGACAGAAUCUUCAUCUCUAGCAUUUUAUCAACUUGAGAUGUCCCAGUGACUGUCCCCUCGUGGGCCUCAUAGCCCAGGCAGCAUUCAAAAAUCAGCACAUCCCAGAAGUACUCUUUUGGUAACUGACGAGAGCUGAGGCUACAUGCUGAGGUUUUCCAUUCCUGCCAGAAAAGAGUUUUGGACAAGAAGCAGCUCUGAACUGAACCAAAACUGAAUGCCCAAACUACAAUUCUACAGGAUUUCAGUAUUAUUUUAUGUUCCCUGAGUCCUGAGGAAUUGAUGGCACCGAUGGAAGCAAGACUAACGAGGAUUGUUCU